AGAGUUGAUCCUGGCUUAGGAUGAACGCUGGCGGCAGGCUAAUACAUGCAAGUCGAACGGUAAGGCCGAGUGCAGCAAUGCAUGAGGUACACGAGUGGCGCACGGGUGCGUAACGCGUAUGCAACCUGCCCCCCGACCGGGACAAAACAGCUGGAAACGGCUGCUAAUAUCCCAUGGUCAUGAGGAAGGGCAUCCUUCCUUAUGUAAAGAUUCAUUGGUCGGGGAUGGGCAUGCGUAUUAUUAGGUAGUUGGCGGGGUAACGGCCCACCAAGCCGACGAUGAUUAGGGGUCCUGAGAGGGUUAACCCCCCACACUGGAACUGAGACACGGUCCAGACUCCUACGGGAGGCAGCAGUAGGGAAUAUUGGGCAAUGGGAGCAAUCCUGACCCAGCCAUGCCGCGUGAAGGAAGACGGCCCUAUGGGUUGUAAACUUCUUUUGCCGCAGUAGUAAACCCGGUCACGUGUGGUCGGUUGAGAGUAUGCGGCGAAUAAGUAUCGGCUAACUCCGUGCCAGCCGCGGC
rnacentral:rRNA from 1 species